UUUAACAAAAAAAAUCUGGGAUCUCAAAGUGCCGUGGAAGACAGAGCAGUAGCAGAAGACGCUGCAGUAUUAAACAUCCACAAGCAGGAACACGGCAAGGUGUUAAACAUCCACAAGCAGGAACACGGCAAGGUGAUAACAUCCACAAGCAGGAACACGGCAAGGUGUUAAACAUCCACAAGCAGGAACACGGCAAGGUGAUAACAUCCACAAGCAGGAACAUAGCAAGGUGUUAAACAUCCACAAGCAGGAACACGGGGGCAGAGCAAGGUGUUAAACAUCCACAAGCAGGAACACAACAAGGUGUUAAACAUCCACAAGCAGGAACACGGCAAGGUGAUAACAUCCACAAGCAGGAACACGGCAAGGUGUUAAACAUCCACAAGCAGGAACACGGGGGCAGAGCAAGGUGUUAAACAUCAACAAGCAGGAACACGGCAAGGUGUUAACAUCCACAAGCAGGAACACGGCAAGGUGAUAACAUCCACAAGCAGGAACACGGCAAGGUGAUAACAUCCACAAGCAGGAACACGGCAAGGUGUUAAACAUCCACAAGCAGGAACACGGCAAGGUGAUAACAUCCACAAGCAGGAACACGGGAACACGGCAAGGUGUUAACAUCCACAAGCAGGAACACAGCGAGGUGAUAACAUCCACAAGCAGGAACAUAGCAAGGUGUUAAACAUCCACAAGCAGGAACACGGCAAGGUGAUAACAUCCACAAGCAGGAACACGGCAAGGUGAUAACAUCCACAAGCAGGAACACGGGAACACGGCAAGGUGUUAACAUCCACAAGCAGGAACACAGCAAGGUGUUAACAUCCACAAGCAGGAACACGGCAAGGUGUUAAACAUCCACAAGCAGGAACACGGCAAGGUGUUAACAUCCACAAGCAGGAACACGGCAAGGUGAUCAAAUAAAUGCUUGAAGACGUUUGCUGAAUGAGCUAAACGUUGAGUAAACAGAAUCGUGUAAACAAGGUUUUAGACGAUCUUUAAAGUUGUUAGAGCAGGAGGACUCUCUCUGUCUCUCGCUCUCAUCGUGUCCAGCAGCAUCAGCAGCAGCAGGAGGCGGACCUCCACAUUAACCAUCGAGACCCUGACCACCUCGCCAUCAUGCGCAUACAUAUAAUCAAAGUAUCCGCGAUUGGUUAAAGUUUGAAUUGCGUUCUCGUGCCGUCGACUCCGAUUAGCUGAAUAGUCACAAUGUCACUCUUACAGAGUUGAAUAGUCACAAUGUGAUACUUACAGAGUUGAAUAGUCACAAUGUGAUGCUUACAGAGUUGAAUAGUCACAAUGUCACUCUUACAGAGUUGAAUAGUCACAAUGCCACUCUUACAGAGUUGAAUAGUCACAAUGCCAUUCUUACAGUUGAAUAGUCACAAUGUGAUACUUACACAGUUGAAUAGUCACAAUGUCAUUCUUACAGAGUUGAAUAGUCACAAUGUGAUACUUACAGAGUUGAAUAUUCACAAUGUCACUCUUACAGAGUUGAAUAUUCACAAGGUCAUUCUUACUGAGUUGAAUAGUCACAAUGUCACUCUUACAGUUGAAUAGUCACAAUGUCACUCUUACAGAGUUGAAUAGUCACAAUGUGAUACUUACAGAGUUGAAUAGUCACAAUGUGAUACUUACAGAGUUGAAUAGUCACAAUGUGAUACUUACAGAGUUGAAUAGUCACAAUGUCACUCUUACAGAGUUGAAUAGUCACAAUGUGAUACUUACAGAGUUGAAUAUUCACAAGGUCAUUCUUACAGAGUUGAAUAGUCACAAUGUCACUCUUACAGAGUUGAAUAUUCACAAUGUCACUCUUACAGAGUUGAAUAGUCACAAUGUCACUCUUACAGAGUUGAAUAGUCACAAUGUGAUACUUACAGAGUUGAAUAGUCACAAUGUGAUACUUACAGAAUUGAAUAAUCACAAUGUCACUCUUACAGAGUUGAAUAGUCACAAUGUGAUACUUACAGAGUUGAAUAGUCACAAUGUCACUCUUACAGAGUUGAAUAGUCACAAUGUGAUUAAUUUUGAUUUAAAGCUUUCGUGACUGCAGGGAUUCAUAUUAUUGGUUCUUUCGGUAUAGUCACGUAGAAGGGAAACAAUAAAAUAAUAAAAAUAUAAAACAAUAAAAUUCUCACGACGUUUCGACUGCAACACAAGAAAUCAUCAUCAGGUGUGAUACUUACAGAGUUGAAUAGUCACAAUGUGAUACUUACAGAGUUGAAUAGUCACAAUGUCACUCUUACAGAGUUGAAUUUUCACAAUGUGAUACUUGCAGAGUUGAAUAGUCACAAUGUGAUACUUACAGAGUUGAAUAUUCACAAGGUCAUUCUUACAGAGUUGAAUAUUCACAAUGUCACUCUUACAGAGUUGAAUAGUCACAAUGUGAUACUUACAGAGUUGAAUAGUCACAAUGUCACUCUUACAGAGUUGAAUUUUCACAAUGUGAUACUUGCAGAGUUGAAUAGUCACAAUGUGAUACUUACAGAGUUGAAUAGUCACAAUGUGAUACUUGCAGAGUUGAAUAGUCACAAUGUCACUCUUACAGAGUUGAAUAGUCACAAUGUGAUACUUACAGAGUUAAAUAGUCACAAUGUCAUUCUUACAGAGUUGAAUAUUCACAAGAUCAUUCUUACAGAGUUGAAUAGUCACAAUGCCAUUCUUACAGUUGAAUAGUCACAAUGUGAUACUUACACAGUUGAAUAGUCACAAUGUGAUACAGACUCACUCCUUUGUUGUGAUAAACUU